rnacentral:rRNA from 1 species
UGCAAGUCGAACGAUGAACCCGCUAACGGUGGGGGAUUAGUGGCGAACGGGUGAGUAACACGUGGGCAAUCUGCCCUUCACUCUGGGACAAGCCCUGGAAACGGGGUCUAAUACCGGAUAUGACCACUUCGGGCAUCCGAUGGUGGUGGAAAGCUCCGGCGGUGAAGGAUGAGCCCGCGGCCUAUCAGCUUGUUGGUGGGGUAAUGGCCCACCAAGGCGACGACGGGUAGCCGGCCUGAGAGGGCGACCGGCCACACUGGGACUGAGACACGGCCCAGACUCCUACGGGAGGCAGCAGUGGGGAAUAUUGCACAAUGGGCGAAAGCCUGAUGCAGCGACGCCGCGUGAGGGAUGACGGCCUUCGGGUUGUAAACCUCUUUCAGCAGGGAAGAAGCGCAAGUGACGGUACCUGCAGAAGAAGCGCCGGCUAACUACGUGCCAGCAGCCGCGGUAAUACGUAGGGCGCAAGCGUUGUCCGGAAUUAUUGGGCGUAAAGAGCUCGUAGGCGGCUUGUCACGUCGGAUGUGAAAGCCCGGGGCUUAACCCCGGGUCUGCAUUCGAUACGGGCAGGCUAGAGUGUGGUAGGGGAGAUCGGAAUUCCUGGUGUAGCGGUGAAAUGCGCAGAUAUCAGGAGGAACACCGGUGGCGAAGGCGGAUCUCUGGGCCAUUACUGACGCUGAGGAGCGAAAGCGUGGGGAGCGAACAGGAUUAGAUACCCUGGUAGUCCACGCCGUAAACGUUGGGAACUAGGUGUUGGCGACAUUCCACGUCGUCGGUGCCGCAGCUAACGCA